UAUUAGAAACACAACUCAGGGAGAC
rnacentral:piRNA from 1 species